rnacentral:lncRNA from 1 species
CGUAAAUACCUCCUAUGUUGUUUAGAUAUGUCGAUUCUGGUAUAACCAGAUAGACCUAAGGAUGAUGCUAGUGAUUCCUUAGUAUUGUAUAUUCUAGCUGAGUAUAAAGAGUAAGGGGCUUUAUACAAAUAACAAUUCCUUAGGCAAGAUAUACCGCUCCGUUGUGCUGACGAGCAUAAUUUGCCCAGAUACAGAGCACGUGACUGUUCUGAGGAGCAUUUAUAUCAGAAAGGCAG